rnacentral:rRNA from 1 species
UACGGAGGGUGCAAGCGUUAUCCGGAUUCACUGGGUUUAAAGGGCGCGUAGGCGGUUCGUUAAGUCCUGUGUGAAAUCCCCCGGCUCAACUGGGGAACUGCACAGGAAACUAGCGGGCUUGAGUUCGGGAGAGGGAAGCGGAAUUCCGGGUGUAGCGGUGAAAUGCGUAGAUAUCCGGAGGAACACCGGUGGCGAAGGCGGCUUCCUGGACCGACACUGACGCUGAGGCGCGAAAGCUAGGGGAGCAAACGGG